ACGGCCAUACUACGUUGAAAACACCGGUUCCUCAUCCGAUCACCAAAGUUAAGCAAUGUCAGACCUGGACAGUACUUGGGAGGGUGACCACCUGGAAACACCGGGUGUAACUGUAGGCU